rnacentral:rRNA from 1 species
UACGUAGGGUGCAAGCGUUGUCCGGAAUUAUUGGGCGUAAAGAGCUCGUAGGCGGUUUGUCGCGUCUGGUGUGAAAAUCCAGGGCUUAACCCUGGACCUGCAUCGGGUACGGGCAGACUAGAGUGCGGUAGGGGAGAUCGGAAUUCCUGGUGUAGCGGUGAAAUGCGCAGAUAUCAGGAGGAACACCGGUGGCGAAGGCGGAUCUCUGGGCCGUAACUGACGCUGAGGAGCGAAAGCACGGGGAGCGAACAGG